UACGAAGGGGGCUAGCGUUGUUCGGAUUUACUGGGCGUAAAGCGCACGUAGGCGGAUUGGUCAGUUAGGGGUGAAAUCCCAGAGCUCAACUCUGGAACUGCCCUUAAUACUGCCAGUCUAGAGUCCGGAAGAGGUAAGUGGAACUCCUAGUGUAGAGGUGGAAUUCGUAGAUAUUAGGAAGAACACCGGUGGCGAAGGCGGCCCACUGGAUCGGUACUGACGCUGAGGUGCGAAAGCGUGGGGAGCAAACAGG
rnacentral:rRNA from 1 species